AAUAUCGGACAAUGGGGGCAACCCUGAUCCAGCCAUGCCGCGUGUGUGAAGAAGGUCUUCGGAGUGUAAAGCACUUUGAGUAGGGAGGAAGGGCUUUAGGUUAAUACACUGUCGUUUUGACGUUACCAAUUGAAUACACAUCGGGCAACUCUGUCCUAGUAGCCGCGGUAAUACAGAUGUUGCAAGCGUUAAUCGGAAUUACUGGGCGUAAAGCGCGCGUAGGUGGUUCAGUAAGAUGGGUGUGAAAUCCCCGGGCUUAACCUGGGAACUGCUUUCAUAACUGCUGAGCUAGAGUACGGUAGAGGGUAGUGGAAUUUCCUGUGUAGCGGUGAAAUGCGUAGAUAUAGGAAGGAACACCAGUGGCGAAGGCGACUACCUGGACUGAUACUGACACUGAGGUGCGAAAGCGUGGGGAGCAAAC
rnacentral:rRNA from 1 species